AAUUUCUUAUAAUGUAAAUUAUUAUCCUUACAAGAUAAAUCUUACUUUUUGUAUUACAUUA
rnacentral:tRNA from 1 species